AAGUCGUAACAAGGUUUCCGUAGGUGAACCUGCGGAAGGAUCAUUAACGAGUUUACUGAGUUGUCGCUGCCCUUUCGGGGGAUGUGCACGCUCUUUCACUCAUCUAUACACCUGUGAACCUAUGCGAGUCAAUGGGGGAUUAGCGAAAGGAGAGCCGAAAGGUGAUUCGAUUAGCGUUCUCUACUGGCUCGAUUUUUUAUAAACUCUUGUAUGUCUUAGAAUGUCUUACUUUGCUUAACGCAAUAAAUACAACUUUCAACAACGGAUCUCUUGGCUCUC
rnacentral:misc_RNA from 1 species